CAUUGCACCCUCUCAAUACUCUCUGCCAUUACUCUCAUCUCCCAAUUUUUCCUCUCUCUUCCUCCCAGAUUUGCACCUACCUUUCAAACUCUUUGCCUAAAAACUGCUUGAUCAGUACAAAACCAUCUCCGGUUUUCCGACAAACAAAUCUCAGGCCACACAUCGAUACACUCCUCUCUCUCUUUAGGAUUUCGUCGCGUCUUCCUAGCAAUUUGAUUAAGAUGUACUAUUUCUCAAGACAACACUAGAGGAAGAAGGUUAAAGGGUUUGCUUUCAAUUUCCGGUAUAAGAAAAAGAUGUUCGAGCCAAAUAUGUUUCUUGCGGCUAUGAACAACGAAGAUAGCAACAACCACAACUACAACCAUGAAGACAACAACAAUAACAAUGAAAGAUUUCUACGGGACGAGGAAUUCGACAGUGCGAAUACUAAAUCGGGAAGUGAGAAUCAAGAAGGAGGAUCAGGAAACGAUCAAGAUAAUCAUCAUCCUAAUAAGAAGAAACGAUAUCAUAGACACACCCAACUUCAGAUCCAGGAGAUGGAAGCAUUCUUCAAAGAGUGUCCUCACCCGGAUGACAAGCAAAGGAAACAACUUAGCCGUGAACUGGGUUUGGAACCUCUUCAGGUCAAAUUCUGGUUCCAGAACAAACGCACCCAAAUGAAGGUAUAAUAUACUUAUGAUCAUUUAUAUACUUGUGGAUCUAUAUCAAAGUAUAAAUAUUCUGAAAGCCUUAUGUUAUACUCAGACGGCUAG